rnacentral:rRNA from 1 species
ACUACGGGUGGCAGCAGUGGGGGAUAUUGCACAAUGGGGGGAACCCUGAUGCAGCGACGCCGCGUGGGUGAAGAAGCGCCUCGGCGCGUAAAGCCCUGUCAGCAGGGAAGAAAAUGACGGUACCUGAAGAAGAAGCCCCGGCUAACUACGUGCCAGCAGCCGCGGUAAUACGUAGGGGGCAAGCGGUAUCCGGAUUUACUGGGUGUAAAGGGGGCGCAGACGGCGAUGCAAGCCAGGAGUGAAAGCCCGGGGCCCAACCCCGGGACGGCUCUUGGAACUGCGUGGCUGGAGUGCAGGAGGGGCAGGCGGAAGUCCUGGUGUAGCGGUGAAAUGCGUAGAUAUCAGGAGGAACACCGGUGGCGAAGGCGGCCUGCUGGACUGCAACUGACGUUGAGGCCCGAAAGCGUGGGGAGCAAACAGGAUUAGAUACCCUGGUAGUC